rnacentral:rRNA from 1 species
UGCAUAUCCAAUAGCGGAGGAAAAGAAACCAACAGGGAUUGCCCUAGUAACGGCGAGUGAAGCGGCAACAGCUCAAAUUUGAAAUCUGGCUCUCGGGCCCGAGUUGUAAUUUGUAGAGGAUGCUUUUGGUGCGGUGCCUUCCGAGUUCCCUGGAACGGGACGCCAUAGAGGGUGAGAGCCCCGUCUGGUUGGAUGCCAAUCCUCUGUAAAGCUCCUUCGACGAGUCGAGUAGUUUGGGAAUGCUGCUCUAAAUGGGAGGUAUAUGUCUUCUAAAGCUAAAUACCGGCCAGAGACCGAUAGCGCACAAGUAGAGUGAUCGAAAGAUGAAAAGAACUUUGAAAAGAGAGUUAAAAAGUACGUGAAAUUGUUGAAAGGGAAGCGCUUGUGACCAGACUUGGGCUUGGUUGAUCAUCCAGGGUUCUCCCUGGUGCACUCUUCCGGCUCAGGCCAGCAUCAGUUUGCCUCGGGGGAUAAAGGCUUCGGGAAUGUGGCUCUCUCCGGGGAGUGUUAUAGCCCGCUGCGUAAUACCCUGUGGCGGACUGAGGUUCGCGCAUUCGCAAGGAUGCUGGCGUAAUGGUCAUCAGUGACCCGUCUUGAAACCACGGACCA